CACAAUAAAAUAUGAAGGCUGUACGCGGCUGUGCUCUCGGGCCAGUUUUGCGGAGGCUGAAUUAUUUAUUACCCUUGUCUUUUGCGCACUUGUUGUUUCCUGGGCGGGUUCGCCCGCCACCAGGACCACAUCAUAAACCUUUUUUAUGCAGUUGCAAUCAGCGUCAGUAUAACAAGUGUAAAUCAUUUA
rnacentral:misc_RNA from 1 species